rnacentral:rRNA from 1 species
GAUGAACGCUAGCGGCGUGCCUAAUACAUGCAAGUCGAACGAAAAGGCGAGGAUCUUGCUCCUCUCACGUUGGCGGCGGGCGGGUGAGUUACCCGAGCAUACCCUACAUCUCAGACUGACAUCACUUCGGCAAACCGGAUCUAAUACCCGCUCAUCUAUUGAAACGCAGGGUUCAUUAGUCAAUGCAGGUUUUGCUGUCCCUAUUUGAUAGUUCCGUGCUGGAUUAGCUAGUUGGUAAGGAAACGGCUUACCAAGGCGACGAUGCGUAGCCGACCUGAGAGGGGGAUCGGCCACACUGGAACUGAGACACGGUCCAGACUCCUACGGGAGGCAGCAGUAGGGAAUCUUGGGCAAUGGGGGAAAGCCUGACGGAGCAACGCCGCGUGAGUGAUGAAGGUCUUCGGGUCGUAAAACACUGUUAGCAGGGAAGAACAGAUGUGGAAUAAAACAUGGAGGAAUUGACGGUACCUGAUGAAAAAGCAACGGCUAACUACGUG